rnacentral:rRNA from 1 species
UACAGAGGUCUCAAGCGUUGUUCGGAUUUAUUGGGCGUAAAGGGCGCGUAGGCGGCGGGGUAAGUCGGGUGUGAAAUCUCAGGGCUCAACCCUGAAACUGCGCUUGAUACUGCUCUGCUUGAGGACUGGAGAGGAGACUGGAAUUCACGGUGUAGCAGUGAAAUGCGUAGAUAUCGUGAGGAAGACCAGUGGCGAAGGCGGGUCUCUGGACAGUUCCUGACGCUGAGGCGCGAAGGCCAGGGGAGCAAACGGG